rnacentral:rRNA from 1 species
UACGUAGGGUGCUAGCGUUGUUCGGAAUCACUGGGCGUAAAGCGCACGUAGGCGGUUGGGUGAGUCAGCGGUGAAAUCCCGGAGCUCAACUUCGGAACUGCCUUUGAUACAGCACGUCUUGAGUCCGAUAGAGGUGGGUGGAAUUCCUAGUGUAGAGGUGAAAUUCGUAGAUAUUAGGAAGAACACCGGUGGCGAAGGCGGCCCACUGGAUCGGUACUGACGCUGAGGUGCGAAAGCGUGGGGAGCAAACAGG